rfam:Caenorhabditis briggsae complete genome, chrV
CCAACGGCCCUCUUUAGGGCCACAAAUAUCUGAAAAUCCAAUAUUAU